CUCAAUGGCAAAAUACAGCAGGCUGCCUAAGAAAAAGGAGAAUGAGAAGGUAAAGACCGAAGUUGGAAAAGAGGUGGCCGCGGCCCGGCGGAAGCAGCACCUCUCCUCCCUUCAGUACUACUGUGCCCUCAACGCGCUGCAGUACAGAAAGCAAAUGGCCAUGAUGGAGCCCAUGAUAGGCUUUGCCCAUGGACAGAUUAACUUUUUUAAGAAGGGAGCAGAGAUGUUUUCCAAACCUAUGGACAGCUUUUUAUCCUCCGUUGCAGACAUGGUUCAAAGCAUUCAGGUAGAACUGGAAGCCGAGGCGGAAAAGAUGCGGGUGUCCCAGCAAGAAUUACUUUCUGUUGAUGAAUCUGUUUACACUCCAGACUCUGAUGUGGCCGCACCACAGAUCAACAGGAACCUCAUCCAGAAGGCUGGUUACCUUAAUCUUAGAAACCCAGGGGAGCCGUGGCUGGAGGUUUGAUCCAGGACCUGGACAACUGCUCAGUGAUGGCCGUGGAUUGCGAAGACCGGCGCUACUGCUUCCAGAUCACCACGCCCAAUGGAAAAUCG
rnacentral:sRNA from 1 species